UACAGAGGUCCCAAGCGUUGUUCGGAUUCACUGGGCGUAAAGGGUGCGUAGGUGGCGAGGUAAGUCGGAUGUGAAAGCUCGGAGCUCAACUCCGAAAUGGCAUUGGAAACUACCUUGCUCGAGGGUUGGAGGGGGGACUGGAAUUCCCGGUGUAGCAGUGAAAUGCGUAGAUAUCGAGAGGAACACCAGUGGCGAAGGCGAGUCCCUGGGCAACACCUGACACUGAGGCACGAAAGCUAGGGGAGCAAACAGG
rnacentral:rRNA from 1 species